rnacentral:rRNA from 1 species
AAAUUUUUAGAUCUCAUUAAAAACUUACGUUAACUUCUUAUUAUUAAGUAUAUGAAGUAUUCGGGGAAUCGUGAAGAUUUUACUAGGUAGAGAAAUUAAUCUAGGAAUGGUAAUGAUGAAUGUUGAAUAAUCAGACAUAGAAUGCUAAGGUUGUAUGUCAAAAGGGAAACAGCCCACAACAAGUGUUAUAAUAAGGUUCCAAAAUUAUUAUUAAGUGAAAUCAAGGAAGUCUUUUGAUUUUAAUUCGAUCAGGAAAUAGGCUUAGAAGCAGCCAUUUUUUUUGAAGACCUCGUAAUAGAGCACUGGUUAACAAUGUAAAAAGGCAUUGAAAAUUUAACGGAUCUAAAAUAAUAUACCGAAACCUUGUCUAUAGUUAUAAAUAUUUAUAUUGUAUAACUAUAGGGUAGCGGAACGUAGGGGAUAUAAAAGAAUUUGUUCUUUUUAAGAAAAAAUAAUAUAACUCUAGUGAUAAUGCUAACAUGAGUAACGAUAAAGGCCAAUCUAUAGGUUGACCUCGCCUUAAGCUUAUGGUAUAGAUAAAAGUAACGGCCUCUAAGUUUAUUAACCUAAAGGACUAAACGAUGAGAAAACCUUGUUUAUAAAGUAAUAACCUUUAAAUUUUUAAACAUUCUGGGGUCGCACGCCCUCACUCUCUUUAGGAGUGAGUGAUCGCGCCCCAAUAGCUGAUGUAAAUAAUAAGUGAUGAAGAGUUCAGGAAAAACGAUAAACACUUAACCGUACCUAAAUACCAGCUCAGGUAAGCAAGUAGAGAAUACGAAGGCGUUGAGAU